rnacentral:rRNA from 1 species
GCCCUCACAACCAUUGAAGGUGUAGCCUGCCCUAUGGCCUCUACUAUAGAAGUAAAACUCGAAAAAAAAAGCCAAAUGGCUGCAGUAACCAUAACUGUAAAAAUGUAGCACAAUCAAUCGUCAUUUAAUUAAUGAAUAGUAUGAAUGGCUAAACGAAAAUCUCACUGUCUCAUAAUAUAACCAAAAAAAAUUAAAAUAACAGUCAAGAUGCUGUUUAAAAUUGUAAGACGAAAAGACCCUAUAAAGCUUAACUACUAACCCUAAAUAAAUCUUAGGGAAAAGGUAGUUUCAUUGGGGCGAUGGUUUUUAAAACAAAACAAAAACACAACAAAAAUAAUUUCAAUCAUUUACUGUACAACCCAUUAGUUUAACAGUUACAAAGUAGGUUAAACACGACCCAUUAACUCCUAGAAAAAAGGUUAAUGAUUAAUAAAUAAAAGCUACUUUAGGGAUAACAGAAUAAUUUUAUUCAGAAGUCCAAAUCCAAAAUAAAGUUUAUUACCUCGAUGUUGAAUUGAGAUAUCCCAGGGGUGCAAAAGCUCCUAAAGGUAGGUCUGUUCGACCAUUAAAAUCUC